rnacentral:rRNA from 1 species
UACGGAGGGUGCAAGCGUUAUUCGGAUUUACUGGGCGUAAAGCGCGCUAAGGCGGUUUAGUAAGUUUGGUGUGAAAGCCCGGGGCUCAACCCCGGAAGUGCAUUGAAUACUGCUAGACUAGAGUGUAGGAGAGGAGGACGGAAUUCCUGGUGUAGAGGUGAAAUUCGUAGAUAUCAGGAGGAACAACGGAGGCGAAGGCGGUUCUCUGGACUACAACUGACGCUGAUGCGCGAAAGCGUGGGGAGCAAACAGG